UACGGGAGGAGCAAGCGUUGUUCGGAUUUACUGGGCGUAAAGCGCGCGUAGGCGGGUUGGUAAGUCCGCUGUGAAAGCCCGGAGCUUAACUCCGGAGGUCGGUGGAUACUGCCAGUCUUGAAGGUGCUAGGGGGAGAUGGAAUUACCGGUGUAGCGGUGAAAUGCGUAGAUAUCGGUAGGAACACCGGUGGCGAAGGCGGGUCUCUGGGCCGUAACUGACGCUGAGGAGCGAAAGCAUGGGGAGCGAACAGG
rnacentral:rRNA from 1 species